UACAGAGAUCUCAAGCGUUGUUCGGAUUCAUUGGGCGUAAAGGGUGUGUAGGUGGCGCCGUAAGUCGGGUGUGAAAUUUCGGAGCUUAACUCCGAAACUGCAUUCGAUACUGCGGUGCUUGAGGACUGGAGAGGAGACUGGAAUUUACGGUGUAGCAGUGAAAUGCGUAGAUAUCGUAAGGAAGACCAGUGGCGAAGGCGAGUCUCUGGACAGCAACUGACGCUCAUGCACGAAAGCGUGGGGAGCAAACAGG
rnacentral:rRNA from 1 species